GAGCAUUUCCUCCAGCAGCUUCUCUCGCCCACUUGCAUCACACCGGCACGGCUUUCAAGGCCCGUGCAAAGCGUGGCACGACAAAAUGCUGUUUCCUCCCCUUGUGCCCUCCCUUAGCCCCUCCACAAGAGACACAAGACAGCACCUGCUCAUGGUGCUGGAAAUCAGGCUCAGGACAUUUGCUGGCCAGGGUGCUGUUAUUAUCAAAGCUGUGGCUUUGACCCAGACUCCAUUAAAAAUCAUCAUCUUCUGAAAUGCCAACUUCUGCCUGUCUUUGCAGGUAUUUUCAGUCCGCAAGGGAAAACCCAAGCAACAUUGAAGUGAUGUAUGUGCACAUUUUUGACCUCUCUAGUGGUCAAGGCCCAAGAACACCUCACUGCAAUUUGGUAUGGUUGUAUUUCCAUGAGGGCCCAUUUUCAAAAUUUGUUCAAAGAACCAAUAACUCCCACCAAAAAGACUUAAUCGGCCAACCAGAGUUUGCUAAAUAAUUAUUUCCAACACAGCCAUCAUCUUUUGACAAGACCGACUACAAAUUCCAAGCAAACACAGAAACCAAACCUCCCACGGAGGGCUGGGCAGAGAUGGUUUGGAAAUCUGCAUUUCUUUGUUAGCAAAGGCAGUUCCUGUGUUUCCUUCUGCACCUUCACAACCUGUGCUCUCUAUCCACAAACAUUUGAAGCAAACAUACCUUUUUUCUGCUCAUCAAUAGCACCUCCCAUAUGAGACAGGAUAGGGAGCAGCCCAAAUUUUGAAGCGAGGAAUGCUCCAGAUGGAUGGAUGGAUGGAUGGAUGAGAGGUCAGUCUCAUUUAUAACUGAUUCAUGGAGUGUUUUCAUGUGCAGAGCAUUUCCAGAAGUUCACUCCUUAGCACUUCAGCUCCCUCAACACCUCUCUCUUAAUGUACUUCUCCAGACACAGGAAGCAUUUCUGCUCUGCAAAGAUAAGAUUUCAUUAAGCUGUGGGGGUUUUAACACAAGAGGAGGUGCCAUUUUGAUUUACUUCUCUGAUUCACACCAGAAAAGGUCCAGAUCCACCUCUUUGUCUGAUGUAACAGUCAUGAACACUGAUUUUCUCACCUCCCUUCACAGAUACAAGACCACUCGAGCCCCAGUGACCAUCUAAGGUUGUGUGCUUGCAAAAGAAAUACCAGAGACCAAUCUGUUCAUGAACCAACCACACGAUUUUCAAGCUGGCAGAUAGACUUGAAACCAGCUUGCACAAGCCUGAAUCCUGCAGAGAACAGUAAGGAGCAAUGUCAGCUUUAGGAUCUGAGCAAGGUAUUCCAAGAAUCCUGCUCCAUGACUUUGAGGAUUUCUCCUGGCUGACCUUCACAUUCAUCCUGCCCCUCUGCUGCUGGUGACUGGGGGAGAAGAAAACUGCAGUACUGGGCCUGAACACACCUGGCAUUGGCAGCAGGGCACUUCCACAGCCAGGGAGUGUUCAGAAGAGCUUGCUAUUCAUCUCUCAGACUUUGGUUUCACUUCUCUGCCUUGCAGCUCUGCAAAAACAGUGGGGUAGUGCAUCAGCUCUCUAGUCCUUAUCUGCCCUCUCUCACACUUGGAAAUGCAGCAGCCUUUCCCAAGCCAAAAUGCAAAAUGCUGGUGAGGAACAAGGAUUUAUCUGCUCUAUCACAGCAGGUAUAGAAAAAAGAGUGACAUGAAUGCAGGUUUUGUGCCUGGUCCCACUGCUCCCAGCUCCUCUACACCAGGCAAGAUAUUUCUGUUUAGUGCAAGAGGCAAGCUGGGAAGUCAGCCUGUGAGUGAUCCUGUCUUUCCCCCACCACAAAGCUGGUAAAAAGGCACACUGUGAAAAGGAAAUUUGUUAUUUUUGUUGUUUGUUUUGGGUUUUUUUGGGGUUUUUUUUAAUUAUUUUUUUUUUAGGGAGCCAUUUAACAUACAGUCAACUCCUAUCACUAUAAAGUUGUUAUGAGAAAAAUUACAGAGGAGAAUUUAUUUACCUGGGACCAGGAGCCUGGAAAUUCCAAGUGCCUGCAGGGCAGCUACCAUUUUGCAUAACAGAAGUGAAGCAUUGGAUAUUAUACAUGCUUAUGCUAUUUUUGUAGGAAUACUUUUAUUUUUUCAAUAUAUUUUUCAAAAUACUUUCCUUUUCCCCCCCAUGAUUUUCUUUAAUCCAAAAUAAAGUAACUUUGCUUAAAAGGCUACAGUCAACCAAAACUCUGUCUCUAUGAGAUCUCUUUUUAUUUGGUCAUCAGGCACUUCUGUAAUAAAUUACAUCACUACA